GUUCUUGCUUCGGCAGAACAUAUACUAAAAUUGGAACGAUACAGAGGAGAUUAGCAUGGCCUGCGCUUGGCCAGCUGAUAAGUAAUUCAGUGAUACAACAUGCAUACAU